GGCAAAGCGAAACGACUAUUGAUGGCAGAUAGGGAAUAGCAUUCCAACAGAUAAGAAUCAGUCACGGUUUUUGGAAAUGCUUUCUUUAUCAAGCCAACUUUCCAAUUUUCCUCGCCUGGCUACUGGGUUAUGUGGCCUGAUACUGCUCCCACCGGGGUCCCGACUUUACGACAUGGAGAGGCAGCUUGACCAUAGUGACUGACUGUAAACAACAAUUUGACAGUCUAGAUAGGAGGCGAUACUCCAUCAGUUGGAUCUUUCAAAACAGAGUAUGGCUGAGAGGGAACUGGCCCCAAGCUUUGGAUUCUGGCAGUCCAUUUUCAGAGGAGAGACAUCGCUUAUACAUGGAUCUCAGCGUACCACAAACAAACAAGCCGAACAUACUUUACUGUUUGGGUUAUUUUUGUAUAAACUCAUUCUGAAAACGAAACCAGUUUCUUUCCAGCCAAAGUCUCACAGCAAAGAAAGUUGUUUUAUUUUCUUUGGGUAGGACGAAUCGAAUCAUGUCGAAACCGGAUCGGCCUCGUACGUAUGUUGCCACAAUAAAAGACGGAAAAUCCAGAAUGUUUGUAGUUUUACCGUCGUUGUUUUUCCCAUCGUGGGAUCAUUGUGUUCCUGUCAUAUGACCUGACCUCUGACCUUGGCAUGACCUCAUGGGUUUUUCCCGUGGAUAAACAUCAGCGACGGAUCAUGUUCAGUGUUUUUCGAUCCACAGCACUGUCAACAGAAUAAACAAACAGUCAUAAACCUGACUACAAAUUAUAA